GCAUAUAAGUACCUUUACUUUCCUUUUUUUUUUUUUUGCAUGACAGACCUUUGUUUUUAAUAAGGUUAACUGGCUAAGUAAUUGGAAGGCUAAAAACGAAUUUUUUGCUGGAAGGGUUGCUCUAUUCAAACUUAUGUUAUGCAAACAAUAAUGCCACCAAAGAGUACAUCCUUCAUCAAUGUCUUGAAGAAGUUAUUUUGUUCUGGUUUUGGAUAACCAAUCUCAAGCGCGAAUUUUUCAUAUAUUUUGACAUUGUAUAGCACCAUCAUCUUUGAGAUUCAAAUAGCAUAAGAAACUUUUCUUAAAUCUUAUUAAGUUAUGCAAAUUUCAUACUCCUUUCAAAUUUUGUUUUUCAAUUUGUCAUUUUUUCUGUUGGAUUUUCUUAGUGGCAAAUGUGGGUUACUAUUCGGACCAAAUAAUUAUUAGGCACCACUGACUUCUGUGUAUUGUAUUUUUAGUGAAUAUACAAUUUAAUCUUCGAAAUAGUAAGCAUUAAUUAAAUUUAUCUUUAAUUUUGUAAGUAC
rnacentral:lncRNA from 1 species